UUGCUUGUUUCAGCAGCACAUGAACUAAAAUUAGAAUGAUACAAAGAUUAGCAUGGGCCCUGCAAGCAAGGAUCAUCUAAAAAUUCAUUAAGCAUUCCAUAUUUAC